rnacentral:rRNA from 1 species
AGAGUUUGAUCCUGGCUCAGAUUGAACGCUGGCGGCAGGCUUAACACAUGCAAGUCGAGCGGUAACAGAAAGUAGCUUGCUACUUUGCUGACGAGCGGCGGACGGGUGAGUAAUGCCUAGGAAUCUGCCUAGUAGUGGGGGAUAACUUGCCGAAAGGUAAGCUAAUACCGCAUACGUCCUACGGGAGAAAGCAGGGGACUCUUCGGAGCCUUGCGCUAUUAGAUGAGCCUAGGUCGGAUUAGUUAGUUGGUGAGGUAAUGGCUCACCAAGACUGCGAUCCGUAACUGGUCUGAGAGGAUGAUCAGUCACACUGGAACUGAGACACGGUCCAGACUCCUACGGGAGGCAGCAGUGGGGAAUAUUGGACAAUGGGGGCAACCCUGAUCCAGCCAUGCCGCGUGUGUGAAGAAGGUCUUCGGAUUGUAAAGCACUUUAAGUUGGGAGGAAGGGCAGUUAACUAAUAUUUGACUGUUUUGACGUUACCGACAGAAUAAGCACCGGCUAACUUCGUGCCAGCAGCCGCGGUAAUACGAAGGGUGCAAGCGUUAAUCGGAAUUACUGGGCGUAAAGCGCGCGUAGGUGGUUCGUUAAGUUAGGAGUGAAAGCCCCGGGCUCAACCUGGGAAUUGCUUCUAAAACUGGCGGACUAGAGUAUGGUAGAGGGUGGUGGAAUUUCCUGUG